GCAGACUCACUCUGUUCUUUGCUGCUCACUUCAGCCAGGAACUUUUUCCGUCUGCUAAAAUAAUGAUCAGAACAUAGCACCUGCUGGCCUCCUGAAAGGCUAGUGUCAGUAUGUUCUGCAACAUGACA
ensembl:snoRNA small nucleolar RNA SNORA77